AACGAACGCUGGCGGCAGGCCUAACACAUGCAAGUCGAGCGCCCUUUCGGGGGAGCGGCGGACGGGUGAGUAACGCGUGGGAAUAUGCCCUUCUCUACGGAAUAGCCUCGGGAAACUGAGAGCAAUACCGUAUACGCCCUGUGGGGGAAAGAUUUAUCGGGGAAGGAUUAGCCCGCGUUGGAUUAGGUAGUUGGUGGGGUAAUGGCCUGCCAAGCCGACGAUCCAUAGCUGGUUUGAGAGGAUGAUCAGCCACACUGGGACUGAGACACGGCCCAGACUCCUACGGGAGGCAGCAGUGGGGAAUCUUAGACAAUGGGGGCAACCCUGAUCUAGCCAUGCCGCGUAAGUGAUGAAGGCCUUAGGGUUGUAAAGCUCUUUCAGCUGGGAAGAUAAUGACGGUACCAGCAGAAGAAGCCCCGGCUAACUCCGUG
rnacentral:rRNA from 1 species